AAGACUACAAUAUAUUGCUUUUUUGAGUAGGAGUCUCACUCUGUCAC
rnacentral:snoRNA from 1 species